rnacentral:rRNA from 1 species
UACGAAGGGGGCUAGCGUUGCUCGGAAUCACUGGGCGUAAAGGGCGCGUAGGCGGCCGAUUAAGUCGGGGGUGAAAGCCUGUGGCUCAACCACAGAAUUGCCUUCGAUACUGGUUGGCUUGAGACCGGAAGAGGACAGCGGAACUGCGAGUGUAGAGGUGAAAAUUCGUAGAUAUUCGCAAGAACACCAGUGGCGAAGGCGGCUGUCUGGUCCGGUUCUGACGCUGAGGCGCGAAAGCGUGGGGAGCAAACAG